rnacentral:rRNA from 1 species
UUUAUAUGAGAGUUUGAUCCUGGCUCAGGAUGAACGCUGGCGGCGUGCCUAAUACAUGCAAGUCGAACGAGUUCUCGUUGAUGAUCGGUGCUUGCACCGAGAUUCAACAUGGAACGAGUGGCGGACGGGUGAGUAACACGUGGGUAACCUGCCCUUAAGUGGGGGAUAACAUUUGGAAACAGAUGCUAAUACCGCAUAGAUCCARAACCGCAAUGGUUCUUGGCUGCUGAGACUGCCAAGGCACACAGGGG